rnacentral:rRNA from 1 species
UACGGAAGGCAGCAGUGGGGAAUAUUGCACAAUGGGCGCAAGCCUGAUGCAGCCAUGCCGCGUGUAUGAAAAAGGCCUUCGGGUUGUAAAGUACUUUCAGUCGUGAGGAAGGUGUUAAGGUUAAUAACCUUAGCAAUUGACGUUAGCGACAGAAGAAGCACCGGCUAACUCCGUGCCAGCAGCCGCGGUAAUACGGAGGGUGCGAGCGUUAAUCGGAAUUACUGGGCGUAAAGGGCACGCAGGCGGUUAAUUAAGUUGGAUGUGAAAUCCCCGGGCUUAACCUGGGAAUGGCAUUCAAGACUGGUUAGCUAGAGUCUUGUAGAGGGGGUAGAAUUCCAUGUGUAGCGGUGAAAUGCGUAGAGAUGUGGAGGAAUACCGGUGGGCGAAGGCGGCCCCUGGGACAAAGGACUGACGCUCAUGUGCGAAAGCGUGGGGAGCAAACG